rnacentral:lncRNA from 1 species
GGCGGCUACCCAACCCAAAGACUUCUAGGUUCUUCCAUUAUUUAGCUCUCCCAAUGGUUAAAAAGCAAUAAGCUCAUUUGGAGUUUAUAAAACUAUGCACCAUCAACAAAAGCAUGUAAUGCUUCCAAGAUGCACAGUGGCUUCUACAAGCACAAUGAGGAGCUGUGUGUAGUCUCUCCCCAAACAAAAAUGCCCAGGCCCCAAUUAAGCACCCUGGGGGCUUUCAAAGCAGUUAUGCUAAGUUGCAAAUACAGCAAGAUCCACUUGAACUCCAACUGUCUUGUGUGCUUUUCCUCCCAAGGUAGGGAAAAAGCCGGGGCAGACUGACCUCAUUAAAGGGUAAUUAGUGAACCCCAGGACUUGAGGGGCUACCACAAUCAUUGCUAUUGUGAGCAUUUCACUACAGGGCCACUAAUUUUUUCAUUUUUUUAACCCAGGAGGUCUCUGCAAUCUGAAGGCCCAACAUUUUAAAUUUUUAAGGAUUUCAAUCUGGCUGUUUUUUUCUACUACUAGUCAUUGAGUAAGA